rnacentral:rRNA from 1 species
CAGUCGCCGCGGGAACACAGAGGGUGCGAGCGUUAAUCGGAUUUACUGGGCGUAAAGCGUGCGUAGGCGGCUUUUUAAGUCGGAUGUGAAAUCCCUGAGCUUAACUUAGGAAUUGCAUUCGAUACUGGGAAGCUAGAGUAUGGGAGAGGAUGGUAGAAUUCCAGGUGUAGCGGUGAAAUGCGUAGAGAUCUGGAGGAAUACCGAUGGCGAAGGCAGCCAUCUGGCCUAAUACUGACGCUGAGGUACGAAAGCAUGGGGAGCAAACAGGAUUAGAUACCCCGGUAGUCCCUGUCUCUUAUAA